AACACGCUUUUUUUUUUAAUCCCUGUUCUAAACCCUAGCCUCCCCUUCCUUCCUCUUCUACAUCAGUCAUCGCCGCCAUCACUGAAUAAGGAUUAAGAUAUCGAUCAACCACUACAGGUAUGUUCUUGAUCUUCAAAUUAACUCCAUGUGUAAGAGUAUGGUGACGGUCGUGGUGGUGGUAGCCUUAAGAGUAACGAAUCUGUAUGUUCUUUGACUCUAUCCUUUUUUUGGUAUGAAAACCCUAACUCGCAUCUUUGAACAAUCGAUGCCAAACCCUCAAGGUAAGUUUGAAAUUAAGUAAUCUACGCCACUGCAUGUGAUUUUCAUUUGAUUUUCAAUGUUCAACGCGGAUUUUAUUCGACACCACGAUGUUUGAUUUACUAACAUUCAUCUACUAUCUGUGUUUGUUCAUGGAUUUGGGGUUUUUGAUGAUUCUCGACUGUUACAACUUGCGUUUCUGUUGAUUAUCUUCUUGGAUUGGUUGAAGUCCAAGCAGCUUCCUUUUGUGUGGGCGUUUGAAGACGUCUUAUGAGGGUUCCGGUUGGAUCAUGGCUGGGAGUUUGAAGAUGGAUGAUGUUGUUGCUGCAUGGAAGAUGGCUGAUAGGGUUUGAAGAUGGAUAAAAUUAAAUUGUCAUUUUACAGAAACGGUUCGGGUCGAACAUACAUCUGGUGGGUGGAGAUGGAUGGAUUCCUGCUUAUUUUACUGUUCGCGUCGAAACGGACAAACGAUACUGGAUGAAAUGGUACACGUCGAAACGUUACGGGUCGAAACGGCUCGCGUCGAACCCGUCUCGGUCCGAAACUUAAUUAUUUUGUCGGAUUAUCCCUUCAUGUGGUGGUGGUGUUUUUGCUGAUGCUGCUGCAAAGUUUCGAUAUCGUGAUGCGUUUUGAUGCUAUUGGAUGUACUUAUAACUACGUUUGUUAUGUUGAGGAAGAAGGUAGUAGGAAUGUUAGUUUAAAGUUAAAAAAAUGGGAUCUGGAAUGCGAGUGAAGGAUUAUUCGUAACCGUGGUCUUGAAAGCAGAAAUCAGAAUAAUGAAUCAUAAACUAAAGUUCGAGUUAUGUCAGGAACCUACUACAUCUUACAGAAGAGACUAAUUAUCCAAGUUUGACAAAAAUGGUGGACAUGAUAGAAUAAGGCCAUUGAAUAUGACAAUUUCAUCGAGUAUUAAUUUUUUUUUGAGUUUUAUUUUUUUUAAUAUUGUCAUAUCUAACGAUGUUUAGGUUUUAUAAUGAUGAUUUCAGUUGCUGCUUGAUCGUUAUGGUAUCUAACAAACUAUUUGAAAACUACUAUUCUUUUGGCAGAAUGAUAGUCGGGUAAUGGGUCAUAACGGCCUGGGUCAAAUUUUGUUAACCUGCAACAUUUUUCUCCGUUUUUGGUCAGACUAGGUCGGGUAACGGGUCAUAUAUACUAUGGUCAGAUUAGAUCUUGACCCCCUAGAAUUAUUGUCCAUUUUUUUCUCAAAACUGGUCGAGUCAGGCAAUGGUUCACACGGGUUUGGGGCGACUGGGUUGACCUGCAAACAUUUUUCUCCAGUGUUGGUCAAAUGAGGUCGGGUGGUCAAAUGAGGUCGGGUAACUGGUCAUAUCAGAUUAGUCAUAUGAGACUUGAUCAACCAGGUUGGGUAACGUCAUAUGAUUAUGAGCCUUUGUCAAACGGUCUUCUCUAUAUUUAAAGAAGAGCGAAAGGAAGAGGGCCAAACACCUAUGUGGCAAGUGAGUAUUGGUUGGGUUAUGUUUGCACGUGUUUGUUUGUUGCCUUGCCAAGUUUCUCUUCUGAUGUCUUCCAGUGACACUUAUUAUGUUAGAUGAGACAUUACUUUCGCUCCCAUCGUCUCUGUCUCUUCUACUCAUGUACAGACUGUUUUGGAGACAUUAAAUUGAAGUAGUGGUAGUCUGAUCCGCCAAUGACGAUGGUCUUUUAGGGUUCCUACCGAGGAAGCACAGGCACCGAUAAUGGUCGUAGGGGUAACCAUCAACCCGGCGAUUCGAGAUAUUGUUUUCAAUAAUAAAUCAUAGUUAAUAUCCAAAGUUAUGAAUUUACUGAAGAUAUUCGGGUAGAUGGGUUUCAACCGGAGUUGGUAUUGGCGAUCACUCAAUUUUCAACUCUGGUAGAUUUUUGUUUUCACAUAGUUGAUCAAAAUUUAAUUAGGGUUAUUGAAAAAAUAUACCUUAAUCAUGGUUUCACCACAUUAUGUAUUUAUAACUUUAUGUAAGAGUUUUUUUGUUUCUUUUGUUCAAUGAUAUUGAUUUGUUUUUGUGAAUCUAAUAAUAUGCAGGUUGAGUUAUUUUGGUUUAUGAAAUAAUGUCACAGGUCACCAAAUGGAAAGUUCAGAAAGGUUAAGUAAAUGUGGUUUUUCGGCUAUAGUUUCACACAACACAUGUAAAAUCCUCCUUUUAUCUCCUCUAAUCCAGUUUCUUUAGUAACACUACGGUAGAAUUUGUAUAUGGUAUAUGGUAGUUGUAAAACAUGUUCUUUUUGGGAUCCAUUUAUCACAUAUAUUGAGCACUAUGGAGAAAAGAGACUAAAACAGAGCGCACCUGAAUCGCCAAAUUCCAAAGAAGCCCAUGAUGAUGAUCACUCUACUACAAAGCCGUUUAACUUGCAUACAAACUGAACCAGAAGGCUGCAUCAUCAAGCAUUCUAGAUUUGAAACAUCUGCUAUAUGCUCAGGGUCGAGCCAUACUUAACGGUGUCAAUUACGGCUUAACAUCAACAAGAAUCCAAGAUGAAACGGGGCAUCAGUUAGUAUUCAUUCUCUAAUCAUCUACAAAUGUGCUUCUAAAACAAUAAUAAUAGAAGACUCAGGUACCUGUUCGCUAUGUAUAACCAUUUUUAUCCAAUAUUCUUUUUUUUUUGUUUAGGAGUGUUCACGGUUCGGCUGACCGGUUUUGACGGUCGAACCGCUAACUAUAGUUUUAGGUAACAGCAAAGCGAACUGGCCGUGUUGGGUGACGGUUUAACGAUUCAGUUUUGACGGUUUGGCGAUUUAAACUGAUUUUCGUUCUAAGCGAACCUUAAUGUAUUUUGCACCCUAUUUGACCCGUUUGAUUGACCAAUACAUAUACUUUGGGUCGAA